UACGGAGGGGGCUAGCGUUAUCCGGAUUCACUGGGUUUAAAGGGUGCGUAGGCGGGUAGGUAAGUCAGUGGUGAAAUCCUGGAGCUCAACUCCAGAACUGCCAUUGAUACUAUCUAUCUUGAAUAUUGUGGAGGUAAGCGGAAUAUGUCAUGUAGCGGUGAAAUGCUUAGAUAUGACAUAGAACACCCAUUGCGAAGGCAGCUUACUACGCAUAUAUUGACGCUGAGGCACGAAAGCGUGGGGAUCAAACAGGAUUAGAUACCCUGGUAGUCCACGCCCUAAACUAUGGAUACUCGACAUAUGCGAUACACUGUAUGUGUCUGAGCGAAAGCAUUAAGUAUCCCACCUGGGAAGUACGUUCGCAAGAAUGAAACUCAAAGGAAUUGGCGGGGGUCCGCACAAGCGGUGGAGUAUGUGGUUUAAUUCGAUGAUACGCGAGGAACCUUACCUGGGCUAGAAUGCUGGGAGACCGCUAGUGAAAGCUAGUUUUGUAGCAAUACACUGCCAGUAAGGUGCUGCAUGGCCGUCGUCAGCUCGUGCCGUGAGGUGUUGGGUUAAGUCCCGCAACGAGCGCAACCCCUAUCUUUAGUUGCCAACAGGUAAUGCUGGGAACUCUAAAGAAACUGCCGCCGUAAGGUGUGAGGAAGGAGGGGAUGAUGUCAGGUCAUCAUGGCCUUUAUGCCCAGGGCUACACACGUACUACAAUGGGGGAGACAAAGGGCUGCAACAUAGCGGUAUGAAGCCAAUCCCAAAAACUCCCUCUCAGUUCAGAUUGCAGGCUGCAACUCGCCUGCAUGAAGCUGGAAUCGCUAGUAAUCGUAUAUCAGCAAUGAUACGGUGAAUACGUUCCCGGACCU
rnacentral:rRNA from 1 species